rnacentral:rRNA from 1 species
AUUGAACGCUGGCGGCGUGCUUUACACAUGCAAGUCGAACGAGUGGCGGACGGGUGAGUAACGCAUCGGAACGUGCCGAAUGGUGGGGGAUAACUAUCCGAAAGGACAGCUAAUACCGCAUAUUAUUCGAGCUGCCCAUGUGGGAUUAGCUGGUUGGGGGGGUAAAGGCACACCAAGGCGACGAUCCGUAGCGGGUCUGAGAGGAUGAUCAGCAAAACGGGAACUGAGACACGGCCCAGAAUCCUACGGGAGGCAGCAGUGGGGAAUAUUGGACAAUGGGCGCAAGCCUGAUGCAGCCAUGCCGCGUGUAUGAAGAAGGCCUUCGGGUUGUAAAGGACUUUCGGCGGGGAAGCGGUACCCGAAGAAGAAGCACCGGCUAACUCCGUGCCAGCCGCCGCGGUAAUUC